rnacentral:tRNA from 1 species
ACCGCUGUCGUUCAACGGACAGGACGCCAGGCUACGAACUUGGUGAUGGGGGUUCGAUUCCCUCCAGCGGUACAA